AGCUCCAAUAGCGUAUACUAAAGUUGUUGCAGUUAAAAAGCUCGUAGUUGGAUUUCUGUGGAAGCGGAGCGGCCGGCUGCAACUUGCGGUACGAGCUAGCGCUUCUUCCACAUCCUGCCGCGAACCGUGCUACCAUUAGUUUGGUGGCGCCGGGGAUCGGCUCGUUUACUUUGAGAAAAUAGAGUGUUCAAAGCAGGCCACACGCCUUGAAUAAGUUAGCAUGGAAUAAUGAUAAAGGACUUCGGUUCUAUUUUGUU
rnacentral:rRNA from 1 species